rnacentral:rRNA from 1 species
UUUGGGCAAUGGGCGAAAGCCUGACCCAGCAACGCCGCGUGAGGGAUGAAGUAUUUCGGUAUGUAAACCUCGAAAGAAUGGGAAGAAUAAAUGACGGUACCAUUUAUAAGCUCCGGCUAACUACGUGCCAGCAGCCGCGGUAAUACGUAGGGAGCAAGCGUUGUUCGGAUUUCCUGGGCGUAAAGGGCGCGUAGGCGGCGCGGUAAGUCACUUGUGAAAUCUCUGAGCUUAACUCAGAACGGCCAAGUGAUACUGCUGUGCUAGAGUGCGGAAGAGGCAACCGGAAUUCUUGGUGUAGCGGUGAAAUGCGUAGAUAUCAAGAGGAACACCUGAGGCGAAGGCGGGUUGCUGGGCCGACACUGACGCUGAUGCGCGAAAGCCAGGGGAGCAAACG